CCUACGGGUGGCAGCAGUGGGGAAUAUUGCGCAAUGGGCGCAACCCUGACGCAGCCAUGCCGCGUGAAUGAAGAAGGCCUUCGGGUUGUAAAGUUCUUUCCGUAGGGAGGAAGGCAUUUAGGUUACUAGACUAGUCGAUUGCCGUUAACUACAUACGAAGCACCGGCUAACUCCGUGCCAGCAGCCGCGGUAAUACGGAGGGUGCGAGCGUUAGUCGGAAUUACUGGGCGUAAAGUGCACGCAGGCGGGGACUUAAGUCAGAUGUGAACUCCCCGGGCUUAACCUGGGAAUUGCAUUUGAAACUGGGUUGCUAGAGUACUGUAGAGGGAGGUAGAAUUCCAAGUGUAGCGGUGAAAUGCGUAGAGAUGUGGAGGAAUA
rnacentral:rRNA from 1 species